rnacentral:lncRNA from 1 species
CUGCUCUUCGGGUUUAGGCAGAAACAAACUUCUCUAGUACUUUAAUUGUCAACAUUCACACUGAAAUCCCGAUGAAUAUGCAGUAAUGCUUGUAACUGUCGUUGUUCAUUGUUGAUCAUACAUUUGUUUUCAACAUACGGUAGUACACUGAUAGAUCUCCAUGGUAGCACUCGCGAGAUGUUAUAAACCAGCGUACGUGUUCGCCAUCGAGCGACCUCCCAAUUGAAUUCGUCAAAACUACAUUCCAUGUCAGUUUCGUACCUCAGAUCAUAGAUGUAAUGGGUAUUACAUCUAUGCUCAGACAAUGUUGAGAUUUGUCUGUUGGUUAUAUUUCUUACAACACGUUGAAGCAGAUACAGCGCAAAGAAGCGAUUUUCUGAUAAAACUAUACGCGAUUCCACUAUCCAGUUCCCUUAUUAUAUGGUCUAUGAACGCAAAAAAUAAUGAAACUUUCCAAUACUGUUUUGGCGUGUUUGUAGGGUCACUGUCUCUUGUAGUCUGUCGACCACAUCGCCUCGGCAUAUUUACAACGAUGUCGAAGGGUUCUGAUAAUUUUAAUGCCAAAUUGUACAUCUCAUUCCAAACUGAUGAACCGUACACUGUAAAAUCUGCUCCAAAAAAUACAUGUCUAAGACUGAGUAUUACAAAUUCAAAUCUUGUAAAAGAUACAAGUUACUGUCCGAUUUUGUCAUAAUCUCCAAUAAAACUUUUAUUUUGAAACCAAAUGCCGUUAUUUAAUGAUAUUUU